GGAGGUAUUCGGGGAGGACAGGUGGUGCAUGGUUGUCGUCAGCUCGUGUCGUGAGAUGUGGGUUAAGUCCCGCAACGAGCGCAACCCCUAUUGCUAGUUACCAUCAUUAAGUUGGGGACUCUAGCGAGACCGCCAGUGAUAAACUGGAGGAAGGUGGGGAUGACGUCAAAUCAUCAUGCCCCUUAUGACCUGGGCUACAAACGUGAUACAAUGGCUGGAACAAAGGGAUGCGAAGCAGUGAUGUGGAGCGAAACCCAUAAAAACAGUCUCAGUUCGGAUUGAAGUCUGCAACUCGACUUCAUGAAGUCGGAAUCGCUAGUAAUCGCGGAUCAGAACGCCGCGGUGAAUACGUUCUCGGGGUUU
rnacentral:rRNA from 1 species